rnacentral:misc_RNA from 1 species
AACCAUUCUCACCUGCGGCUAGACCUGCGGAGGGAUCAUUAAACAACUAGGCCGUAACAAGCCUUGAACCCUUCUCUACGCGCACCUUUACCUUCUCCUUCGGCGGGUCAGCGCCCGCCGUCGGAACCAACAAACCCCCUUUUGCAUCUAGCAUACCACCCGUUCCGAUACAAAACACAAUCGUUACAACUUUUAACAAUGGAUCU